GUGUUACAAAAAGGCUUUGAGGGCAAGGUGACGCCACGUAGUCCAAUUGGAAUAAAGCUAGAAGAUAAUGAAGUGCUCAAAAGAGUGGCCUAUGUUUAAAAAAAGAAGAAGAAAGAAACAUUAAAUAGAGUUACAAUUUUUUUUUUCUUUAAUGUUGAUAUCCAAAUACCCUGUGUUUUUUUUGGGAAGAUUGUAUUUAUUUCUGAAAAAACUUGUGGGAAUUUUGUGAGGUUGAGAAUGUUUAGUGUCAACUAAAAAAAGAACCUUUUUUCCGUGUGGUUCAUUCUACAGGUUGGUCUAGCAAGAACAGUAGAUCCUUUCAUGGUGUUAGCUGUGAAUUGAGGUAAAAAAAUGAGUUUAUGAUUCAAUAUGAUAAUAGUAGAAGUGAGAGAUUGGGGAAUUUUUUCGAUUAUUGGAUGUUUAUGUGGUGGUCUUCAUGCAAUUCUUGGAGGAUAACAAUGGAGGGUUCAUCUGAAUCUGCUUGGCAGCAGGAGUGUGAUAGUUCUAGGGCAUUGGAUACUUCUGGUGUCUCAGAUAGGGGUCCAAGUUCGUUUCGUGCAGAAAGGACCGGCAUUUCAGGUGAUUUUGGGUUUACGGAAGAGGAUGGUAGGGACGUGUUGACUCAUAAUGAUAACCUUAGAAGCCAAAUUGGUGUUUCCGGGGUUUGCGAGACGGCAGUAAACCCUUUUGUUCGUUCUAUUGAAUGGGGUGAUGUUAGCUUGAGGCAAUGGUUGGAUAAACCGGAAAGAUCGGUUGAUGUCUUUGAAUGUUUGCACAUUUUUAGACAAAUAGUUGAGAUUGUAAAUAUAGCACAUUCACAAGGGAUCGUUGUUCAUAAUGUUCGACCUUCGUGCUUUGUUAUGUCUUCGUUUAAUCACAUUUCCUUCAUUGAAUCUGCAUCUUCUUCGGAUUCGGGAUCGGAUUCUGUCGAGGAUGCAUUAAAUAGCCAAAAUAUGGAAGAAGUUAAGGGUUUGUCCUCUACUUUGCCCCUUGACAUGCAUCAACAACGUAGGCUGAUAAAAGAUUAUGUACAAACUCCAACAAAUGCUUUAUCUGAAGCUAGUUGCAUGCAGUCGGGCUCAGUUUGUCCAAGGAAUGCUCAAUUAGAGGAGAGUGAAGAAAAUAAAAUCAUCGACUAUCGAAAUUCUGAGCAAGUAGAAGAGAAAAAGCAACCAUUCCCCAUGAAACAGAUGUUGCUCAUGGAGACCAGUUGGUACACCAGUCCUGAAGAGGUUGCUGGCUCUCCCAGUACAUGUGCUUCCGACAUCUAUAGGUUGGGAGUUCUCCUUUUCGAGUUAUUCUGCCCUUUCAGUUCAAGAGAAGAGAAGACUAGAACUAUGUCUAGUUUAAGACAUCGAGUUCUUCCUCCACAGUUGCUACUAAGGUGGCCGAAGGAAGCUUCGUUUUGUUUGUGGUUGUUGCUUCCUGAGCCAAAUAGUCGUCCAAAAAUGGGUGAGUUGUUACAGAGUGAGUUUCUUAAUGAACCAAGGGAUAAUCUGGAAGAACGUGAAGCUGCAAUUGAGCUCCGGGAGAGAAUAGAGGAGGAGGAGUUACUGGUGGAAUUCCUUUUGCUUGUACAACGCAGGAAACAGGAAGUUGCUGAUAGGUUGCAAGAUACUAUUUCUUUUCUAUGUUCCGACAUUGCAGAAGUUAUGAAGCAGCAAGCAAUCUUAAAGGAAAAGGGAAACUCAUGCAUGGAACCAGGGAAAGAUGACAAUUCUACAUCGAAUCUUCCCUCAAUAAAUAUUGUCGAUAUUGAUGAUUCUUCUAGCUUGGGAUCUAGAAAACGAUUUAGACCAGGACUUAGGGUUCCAAAUGUUGAAGAAUGUGGUGAUAAUCUAGAAACUCGUCAAAAGUUUGAUACACAGACUGAAAAUCGAGAAAGUUUUCUCCAGAAAAGUUCUCGGUUGAUGAAAAACUUUAAGAAACUCGAGUCAGCAUAUUUUUUAACAAGGUACAGACCAGUGAAGCAAUCCGGGAAGCCAUCGGGUAGACAAACACCAUUGAGUAGUGAUGGCCGAGGAUCGAUUGUUAUGACCGAAAGAAGUUCUGUCAAUAAUUUAACAUCGAAAGAGAGCUGUAGCGAGAGCUCGGAAAGCGGAUGGAUAAACCCAUUCCUUGAGGGCUUGUGCAAGUAUCUAUCUUACAGCAAGUUAAAAGUUAAGGCAAAUUUGAAACAAGGAGAUUUAUUAAAUUCUUCCAAUCUGGUAUGCUCUCUCGGGUUUGAUCGCGACGCAGAAUUUUUUGCUACAGCUGGUGUAAAUAAGAAGAUUAAAGUAUUUGAAUGUGAUGCGGUCAUAAAUCAAAAUCGUGACAUCCACUAUCCGGUGGUUGAAAUGGCUAGUCGUUCAAAGCUAAGCAGUAUAUGUUGGAAUAGUUAUAUUAAAAGUCAGAUUGCAUCGAGUAACUUUGAAGGAGUGGUGCAGGUGUGGGAUGUCACAAGAAGUCAAAUACUCACUGAAAUGAGAGAACAUGAGAAACGCGUAUGGUCCAUCGACUUUUCAUCAGCAGAUCCAACAGUUUUGGCUAGUGGGAGCGAUGACGGCUCUGUAAAGCUAUGGAGUAUCAAUCAGGGAGCAAGUAUUUGUACCAUCAGGACAAGGGCCAAUGUUUGCUGCGUCCAGUUUCCUUCCGAAUCUGGUCGUUCUCUUGCAUUCGGAUCAGCUGAUCAUAAAAUUUAUUACUAUGAUCUUCGAAACUCUAGGAUUCCUCUAUGCACGCUAGUUGGACACAAUAAAACCGUGAGUGACGUCAAGUUUGUUGAUGCAAAUACUCUCGUGUCUUCUUCCACGGAUAAUACUUUGAAGCUUUGGGAUUUGUCAGUGAGCAAUUCUCAGGUUAUUGAUACUCCCCUUCAGUCCUUUACUGGCCACAUGAAUGUAAAGAACUUUGUGGGCUUGUCGGUAUCCGAUGGUUACAUUGCUACUGGCUCUGAGACUAAUGAGGUAUUCAUAUACCAUAAGGCUUUCCCGAUGCCAGCGUUGACAUUCAAGUUCAACAACAUGGAUCCACUUUCCGGACAAGAAAUGGAUGAUGCCGCGCAGUUUAUCUCGUCUGUUUGUUGGCGCGGUCGGUCUUCUACCCUAGUAGCUGCAAAUUCAACCGGGAAUAUCAAAAUUCUGGAGAUGGUUUAGUUUGGCCUACUUCUCUUGGAUUCAUCAUCCAUGGUUGAAGCAAGAACACAAACAAAAUCCGUGCCGGCACAAAAACUUUGAUCGAAUAAAUACAGUUCAUGGGGAAGCAGAGCAGGCAAAGAUGAUGACCCGGAUUUGAGAAUCCACCCAAAACUAUCCAAACUGUAAAUCUGAACCCGAACUUGAACAGGAUCUAAUGAUAAUCAAGAUUAGGUCAAAUAAGCAGUGUUAUUAUUGAAGUUUUUCUAUUAGAUACAAUUUUUUUUACUGAUGUUUGUAUUCCUCGUUGAUUCAAUUUCUCCAUAUAAUUAAAUCUAUCUACACUGAUCUUGACCAUUAUUAGCUUUCAUAGCUAACCUAGCUAUGAGUUGGCAAAGCCUUUGAGCUCCUGGACCUGGCUUGAUCUUGUUCGAGUCCCCAACUUCUGAACAUGUUAGUUUGCCGGAACACCAAGCGCCAGGAGUGAAACUCCCCUUUGCCCUGCCAAGCAAAUCUGCAUCAAUCUUGUCCAAGACGGGAUCAUCGUGUUUGAAUUUCCGGGCAAAUGCUGCAUUGCUCUGUAUCAUCUUAUCUGUGUCAUUAAUGUUAAGGAUGUGUGGGUGUUGUUUCGGGGGAUUAUCCCACGAAAUAUAGUGCAAAUCAUGGUUGACAACCGUCUUGGCAAAUUCGGGAACGUUGCAUACGACUGUCUGGAAGUAGCCUUCAGGGGAGGAAACGAAGUUUGUGUAAUACAUGAGAAGUGUUCUUGGUAGAUUAUCCCAACCCCAAACACAGAACUCUACAAACGGACGAGAUAAAACUGUCCAUGCCGAACCUGCAAUCAAAGGUGUUCCGAAACAGUUAACCGCAAAUCUUGUAAGCUGAAACAAAUGUACCGUUUUUGUUCUGAACACGAGUAUUAACCAGUAAAUAGUUUAAAUGCUGUAGGCAAUGUUCUCCUUGGUGUGGCCAAAUAUAUAUCAGACUUAGUUGACAUGUAAAGUCCAGGAUCUACAAUCAAAGGCUUAGCUCUUUCAUUCCUGCAGAAACAA